GGAUUUCAUUUUUUUUAUCCGGUUCCCGGUUCACUACUGCAGUUCACAUUCGUUUAGCGUUUAGUGUGGAUUGAAACGCGUUUAGUAUGUAUUGAAAAAAAAGCGGGAAAGACUAACUGAUAUCUAUAUAUAACAAAACAUGCGAUUCUUUACUGGAAAAUUCUUCAUUUCUCAAUUUUCUAUAUGUUUCUGUUCGGGUUCUACUUCUCUUCGAAGUUCUUAUAGAAGGUCGGUUACUCUUUCUGUUCUUCUUCUUCAUCACUGCUCAUCUUGUAAAGUUUACGUUUUCUUCUGAUUUAUUGUAUAAUAUCGAUCAGAUUAGUUAUCUUCUUUGAAAUUUUCUCUGUAUUAGAUCUUAUUCAUGAAAUUAUAAUUUAUGUAGUUAGUUUCUGGAUAUGUUAUCUAAUUAAAUUCACUGAAAUUAUAGCUGAUUCUUGAAAUUAAAGUUAGUUUCUAAUUAUAUUGUCUAAUUAGAUUUACGGUAAUUAUAGCUGAUUUUUGAAAUUGAAGUUAGUUUCUGGUUAUGUUUUCUAAUUAAAUUCACUGAAAUUAUAGUUGAUUCUUGAAAUUGAAAUUGGUUUCUGAUUGUGUUUUCUGAUUAGAUUCACUGAAAUUAUAGUUAUUCUUGAAAUUGUAGUCUAUGUAGUUAGUUCCUGGUUAGGGUUUCUAAUUAUAGUUUAUGUAGUUAGCUUCUUUAAUGUAACACUCUUCAUUUCUCUAUUUUCAAUCUCAUGGAAGGUCAGUUACUUUUUCUUUUUCUGAUCUUCUUCACUCCUCAUCUUGAAAAUUUUCUGAUAAAAUCCAUAUGAGAUUUAUAGUUAUAUGUAGUUAUCUUGAAAAUUGUAGUCUAUGAGGUGUAUUUUUUGACUUAUUUAAUUAAUUACAUGUGAUAUUGAAUAUUGAUGUGUGGUUUGGUUCAUUUACGAAAAAUCAAAUUUUAUUAGGGUGGCUGAAGAGAAACUGAAGCAGAAAAAGAAGAAACUCAGAAAGAAAGAGAAGGCUUAUGUUGAUCUGUGUGAGAAGUUACACGGCUACAAGCCAUUUGAAAGGAAGAAAUGAAAAGAUACUUUUUGUGCUUAUAAGAUACUCCUCAUUGUUCUAAACCAAAUCUAUGUUCCUUUCCUAGUCUAUCACAUUUUCUAACAAUCAUGUUUGCAUAGGCAUGAUAUUCAUUUGUCAGUAUGUGUAAAUAUCUGCAUUGGAAAU
rnacentral:lncRNA from 1 species